CAGAGCUCUCACUCUUCACAGCGGCUCAGCUGAGGCAGCAGGGCGACGUUUGAAGACGCUUGACAGCUCUCAGAGACUGCUAUGACAUCUCGCAGGUGGUUCCACCCCAACAUCACCGGAAUCGAGGCAGAGCAGCUCCUGUUGACCCGGGGCGUCCACGGCAGUUUCUUGGCUCGGCCCAGCAAGAGCAACCCGGGGGAUUUUACCCUCUCUGUCAGGCGCAACAAUGAGGUGACCCACAUAAAGAUCCAGAACUCAGGCGACUACUAUGACCUGUACGGAGGCGAGAAGUUUGCCACGCUGGCCGAGCUGGUGCAGUAUUACACAGAACAACAGGAUCUCCUACGCGAGAAGAACGGCCAUGUCAUCGAGCUCAAGUAUCCACUCAACUGCAAGGACCCCACCUCUGAGAGGUGGUACCACGGGCACCUCUCUGGCCGAGAUGCAGAGAAACUGCUCACAGAUAAAGGCAAGGCCGGCAGUUUCCUGGUCCGGGAGAGCCAGAGUAAACCAGGCGACUUCGUCCUCUCAGUUCUCACCAAUGAGGAGAAACAUGAAAACGUGGAUCGCAAGACCAAGGUCACCCAUGUUAUGAUACGUUACCAGCAGGAUGGUAAAUAUGAUGUGGGCGGAGGUGAGAGGUUUGACACGCUGGCUGACCUGGUAGAUCACUACAAGAAGAACCCCAUGGUGGAGAAAAGUGGCAUCGUAGUGCACCUCAAACAGCCAUUUAAUGCUACAAGGAUAAAUGCAGCCAACAUUGAGAACCGGGUACGAGAGCUCAACAAAGUUGCAGACAACUCUGAGAAGCCCAAACAAGGAUUCUGGGAAGAAUUUGAGGUACUUCAGCAGCAGGAGUGCAAACUGCUGUAUCCCCGGAAAGAAGGCCAGAAGCCUGAAAACAAGAGUAAAAACAGAUACAAGAAUAUCCUCCCCUUCGACACAACUCGUGUUGAAAUCAGGGAAACAGAUCCAGAUGUUCCUGGUUCAGACUACAUCAAUGCCAACUACAUCAGAAGUAUGCAUGAAGAGGGGCGCCACACUGAGGAGGGCAAAGUCUUCAUCGCCACCCAGGGGUGCCUGCAGAAUACAGUCAUUGACUUCUGGAAGAUGCUGUAUCAGGAGAAUGCGCACGUCAUCGUCAUGACCACAAAGGAAAUAGAGCGAGGACGGAAUAAAUGUGUCCGUUACUGGCCAAACCUCCAAGAGACCAAGGUGUUUGGGAAGGUGAAAGUGAAGAACGUGGACGAGAGACCAGCACAGGACUACAUCCUGAGAAAGCUGGAGGUGACCCAUCUGGACCGGAAGGAGCCUUUGAGGUACAUCUGGCACUAUCAGUACCUGAGCUGGCCGGACCACGGGGUGCCUAAUGAGCCUGGUGGUGUGCUCUGGUUCCUAGAGGAGGUCAACCGCACACAGAACACCAUUCCAAAAACUGGACCUAUUGUCGUCCAUUGCAGUGCAGGCAUCGGCAGGACAGGCACCAUUAUUGUCAUUGACAUCCUCAUCGAUAUUAUUAACCGCCAAGGUCUUGAUUGUGACAUCGACAUCCCCAAGACCAUCCAGAGGGUACGGCAGCAGAGGUCGGGCAUGGUGCAGACAGAGGCCCAGUAUAAGUUCAUCUACAUGGCUGUGCAGCAGUACAUAGAUACAGCUCAGAAGAGACUGGAGGAGGAGCAGAGGAAUAAGAUGAAGGAGAGGGAAUAUUCCAAUAUCAGAUAUCCCCAGAUGACCAACUCAAGGUCCAAAUCCAACAUGACAUCCUCACGCUCUUCUUCUGUGAUGACAAAUGAUGAUUCGUCGAGUGUGUACGAGAACAUAAACUUUAAAAGCCCUCAGACGUCUUUCAGCAGUAACACCAGGAGGUAAAACCGUCGGGACCUCCACAUCUCUCUGUCUGCCUCUUUUGAUUAAUAGAGCAGACAAGCAGUGUGAAAUUUCAGCGAAGGUCUGGCUUCAUCAGCGCCUGAAAACCCCUUGGGGGGGAGGAGGGAGUGUGGUGCCCUGACUACACCCCACACCAGUGAACCCUGCCUGGGCUGAAGGUGUGCGAGCUGACCCCUGUCAUGCUGCCGUCCUGCUGGAGUAAAACCUCUCCCUCCAUGGAGAGGAGGACUCUACAGCACAGCGCCCACGCUCAGGGCUUCUGUCCUCCCCCGUUUGUCUCCCUUUUGCUCCAGCCUCCAAAGCUUGUCCUUCUCUUAACCAGCGAAAGUGCCUUGUCACAGGAUGUGUCUGUAAUCUAGCCUCCCCAAACCUGCUGUUAAAUCUGUAGUGUUACUAUUUUCCAAACCCUAGAAACCCAAGCUGACGUAACAAACAACCAGUCUUUCCUUGGGAUGUUGGAUAUUGAACAUGGAGUCUGCCCUGGCCUGAAAUGAACAGAGCUGUACGGGACCCAGGAAGAGGUCAAAGCUAAGCUGUUUGUCCGCUUGUUGCUAGAAAUCACUCUGUUUGGUCUCUCUCCGUCCCUGUCUUUGCUGGCUGUCAUUUGAACUCAAACCUAAGACUGUUUUUGCUGCGUUCUGUCUCUCCAGCUGUGGUGGUUAUUAAUGUGGUUGCUGAGUGAUAGCAAGGGCAGUUGCAUAACGUGCUACGGGAUCCUGAGGCACAGGAAGGGCAAGCAAGCCCUUUCUUCUCAUCUUCAAAAAAAUUGUCAUUUUAAUUUAAUUUUAGAUGGACAUUCUUUUUCUUUUUUUUUUUUGGGAGAUUUGACCGAUUGUCAAAGUUUCGGUGAACGGGUUGUAUGCAGUCCCCCGUGGUGGUUGCAAAUGCAAAUCAGCUGUUCUGUCAUUGUUCUUUAAUGGAAUUGGAGACAGUUUUUACGUAUUUCUUAUGGUUACUGGGACAUUCUCGUCAGUCCUGUCUGUCAUCUGAGUGCGGUCUCCGGUGGUCCCACUUUUCUUUCCUCUUUUUUUUUUGUCUCUCCUUUAAAUCGGCUUCUUCUCAUCAUUUCUUGGUGUUUUUGUUGAUGCUGUUGGUAUCAUGGUUGUGUAACAAAUGAGAUGUUUAUUUUUUAAAUAUAUCUAUAUUUAUGAAAGAGCAUAAUGGUAGAAGAGAUCAAGUUUAAGCACAGUUUUCUAAGAAACAUCCCCGGCACUGAUUUUUAAUUGAUGUUAUAAUAAUAUUUUGACGUCCAUAUUUGACAGGAAACAGGGUUGAGAGGAUUCCUGAAUGGGUGGUUGGAGGUGAGCUUGGCUGACCGACCGUCUCUCGGCUUCAUUUGUCUGCCUGUCCUUGUUAAUCAGCAGGUCUGAUGCAGUUCAACAUCUGUCGGAGGAGAUCGUCACAAGGAGACAAGGCAAAGGGGCCGAUUACAGCGGGCCAGAUGGCCAUCUGCCUGAGAUUGAAGAAUAGAUUUGUCUCCAAAAAGUAAUUUAGAAGAUGGCCAUAAUCCAGGCUUGAUGAUAGCGGGGCGAGUAAGCCGACGUCAUUGAUGUGAUAAGGAAGAUGGUGGUGCUGCGGAGCACUGAGGCCUCUGCACUGUCUGGCAGAUUGUUCACUAUUUUUAGCCUUGGUGGAUCAGCACCAAAAUAUCCAACUGAAACACCAGAGCAGAUACAAUGAAAUCUGACCUAGGUUGUUUAAAAUGUAAAGACUUCAUGGUCCUCCAGACCUUCUUUUAAAAAAAACAAAACAAAAAAAAAAAACAAUGCUGUCACUUGCAGUAGGACAUUGUAAUGAUGAUGUGUGUUCAGUUUGCCCUGAUCAAAAUAAACCAUGAACGAGUGACACUCGGUGGUUGGUGGUCUGUUUGUGCUCUGACCAUUCCUCUUUCUCCACCAGCAGAAGUGUUCAGCUAUCCAGGUCAAGGACACUCGCAGGCAGGACUCACCUUCGGUCAUAAAUUAGCCAGUUUCUGCAGCUACAGUUCGUGACUCUUAAGAGACGUGAUUUAAAAUCUAUCCAAGAGUAAUGAAUACACAGCUAUGGCACUGAGGAAAACUAUAAUUAGACACAGUUGACCUUGUGCAGUGGUCUAAAAUAAAGUAACAGUGCAGCCAGCAGUUGAUGUAUCAUCCUGUCAGACAGCCAUGUUGUGUGUUUUGAAGACUUGUGACGGCACAGAUUCCUUUUGUUCAGCUUCUCCUCUGUCAGUAGAAAAAGAAACUUUUGUUUCCCAUCAGUUCACAAAUAUCUUGUGAUUUUGGUCUCUUGGCUGCCGGGUUUGAAACUUUUCUUGUUAUAAGUUGUUGCCACGAUUUUAAUGGCUGAUUCUUUAUAUGAAUAAAAGCUAUGUUUUCUUAAAUAAAUGGCAUUACUGCCCUGUGUGAGUGAAGGCCUACAAUAUGUCUUUUAGAAAUAUGCAGCAGCACUUGGAUGUACUUCAGCUGAAUUUGAACAUUGGGGAUGUUUGAAUCCCUCUGGUUUUUCCUUUUGUCCUUUUCCCGUCUGAACUGUGAUCUCUGUCUAAUCAAUGAGAAAUGACUUUUGUGGUAUUGUUUCUGUGUUUCUGAACUAUCUUGCGCUGUGGAUAAUUUUGAUUAUUAUAUAUAUAUAUAUAUUUUGUAUUUCACUUUGCCUAUCUGGGUCAAAUUGUUUGUGAUAUGGUGAAACAUCAAUACUUGAAAGUGUGAAACUGCUGAAUCUUUGGCCUCAAGCUGUCUGGAUGGCCAUUGGCUGUGGAAAUAUUUUUGGUAGUGCACUAGAUUUUUGCCAUCAGUGUUGUUUUAUUUUUAGUUUUAUUCUUUUUUUUUCUUUUUUUCAGCUUGUAUAUUUCUAAUUGAUUGUUUUAUCCAUUCUUUCAUUUUGUAUUGUGUGUCAGUUAUAAUAAUAAUAAUUAUUAUUGGUGUAAUUUCAUUAUGAACAAGUCAAUUCUGGCUCUGAGUUGAUCCAGUGUACAUGGAGGUGUGCAGUAGUAACACGCUAUUUUCUUUCUGCUUGUCCUCUUACAUUUACUUGAACAUGAUGUUUUUUGUUUGUUUGUU